rnacentral:rRNA from 1 species
AGCCUCAGGUAUAUAUCUUAGGUGAAACCUGCCCACUGUUAUUAAUUAACGGCCGCAGUACCCUGACUGUGCUAAGGUAGCGUAAUCAAUUGUCCUUUAAAUGGGGCCGUGUAUGAAAGGAUUUAUAGGGUUAAACUGUCUCCUAAAUGUUUUAUUGAAGUUACUUAAAGGGUGAAAAUUCCCUUAUUAUGAAAAAAGACGAGAAGACCCUUAGAGUUUUAAUUAAUUUUAGUUUAACUAAAUAUAUUUUUGUUGGGGCGACAAGGAAGCAGAAUAACCUUCCUCAUUAGAAAAAACAAGCCGGAUUUUUCAAGUGAUUAAACUACCUAAGGGAUAACAGCAUAAUUCUUACUAGAGUUUGUGACCUCGAUGUUGGACUAGGAAUUUAUUAGACUAGCCGUUUAAUUAUAAGGUUCUGUUCGAACUUAUUCUCC